rnacentral:rRNA from 1 species
GGUUCGAUCCCUGGCUCAGGGUCAACUGGCGGGAUGCUUUACACAUGCAAGUCGAACGGCAGCACGGACUUCCGGGUCUGAGUGGCGAGCUGGCGAACAGGUGAUAAUGUAUCGGAACGUGCCUGUUGGCGGGGGAUAACUGCGCGGCGUAGCCCUGUCUGCACUGCCCGCCCUUCGGGGAAAGCGGGGGACCUUCGGGCCUCGCACUAAUAGAGCAGCCGAUAUCGGAUUAGCUAGUUGGUGGGGUAACGGCUCACCCAGGGCGGCGACGAUCCGUAGCUGGUUUGAGAGGACGACCAGCCACACUGGGACUGAAGUUACGGCCCAGACUCCUGCAGGAGGCAGCAGUGGGGAAUUUUGGACAAUGGGGGAAACCUGAUCCAGCCAUCCCGCGUGUGCGAUGAAGGCCUUCGGGUUGUAGCACUGGCGGGGAAAGAAACACGGCAGGAUAUUACCCGUGCAACUGACCAGUACCUGCAGAAUAAGCACCGGCUAACUACGUGCCAGCAGCGCGGUAAUACGUAGGGUGCAAGCGUUAAUCGGAAUUACUGGGCGUAAAGCGUGCGCAGGCGGUUCGGAAGGAAAGAUGUGAAAUCCAGAGCUUAACUUUGGAACUGCAUUUUUAACUACCGAGCUAGAGUGUCAGAGGAGGUGGAAUUCCGCGUGUACAGCGAUGAAAUGCGUAGAUAUGCGGAGGAACUUUCAGGAAAUGGCAGAAAACUUCAGCCUCCUGGGAUAACACUGACGCUCAUGCACGGCGACGUGAGGAGCAAACAGGAUUAGAUCACCUGGUGGUCCACGCCCUAAACAGUGUCCGGCUUAGCUGUUGGGGCUUCAGGCCUUGGUAGCGCAGCUAACGCGUGAAGUUGACCGCCUGGGGAAGUACGGUCGCAAGAUUGAAACUCAAAGGAAUUGACGAGGGGACCCGCUGGCAGUGGAUGAUGUGGAUUAAUUCGAUGCAACGCGAAAACCUUACCUACCCUUGACAUGUCUGGAAUCCCGAAAGAGAUUUGGGAGUACUCGCAAGAGAACCGAACACAGGUGCUGCACUGGCUGUCGUCAGCUCGUGUCGUAGGAUGUUGGGUUAAGUCCCACGGCGAGCGCAACCCUUGUCAUUAGUUGCUACGAAAAGGGCACUCUAUGUGACUCGAGACUGCCGGUGACUAAACCGGAGGAAGGUGGGGAUGACGUCAAGUCCUCACUUCUGGCCCUUAUGGGUAGGAGCUUCACACGUCAUACAAUGGUCGGGACAGAGGGUCGCCAACCCACCUGAAGGAGCCAAUCCCAGAAAACCCGAUCGUAGUCCGGAUCGCAGUCUGCAACUCGACUGCGUGAAGUCGGAAUCGCUAGUAAUCGCGGAUCAGCAUGUCGCGAGUGAAUACGUUCCCGGGUCUUGUACACCGUCACACCAUGGGAGUAGGUUUUACCAGAAGUAGUUAGCCUAACCGUAAGGGCGAUUACCACGGUAAGUUCAUGACUGGGGUGAUCGUAACAAGGUAG